AGCGCAACCCUUGUCCUUAGUUACCAGCACGUAAUGGUGGGCACUCUAAGGAGACUGCCGGUGACAAACCGGAGGAAGGUGGGGAUGACGUCAAGUCAUCAUGGCCCUUACGGCCUGGGCUACACACGUGCUACAAUGGUCGGUACAGAGGGUUGCCAAGCCGCGAGGUGGAGCUAAUCCCAGAAAACCGAUCGUAGUCCGGAUCGCAGUCUGCAACUCGACUGCGUGAAGUCGGAAUCGCUAGUAAUCGCGAAUCAGAAUGUCGCGGUGAAUACGUU
rnacentral:rRNA from 1 species